CCAAGUCGCCCCACGGUGUGAUGGAAUUAUAUUGAUUCUCUUGUUGUUGCCGACAGUAAGUGAUCUGCUGAAAGGUUUACUGUGUUACUGUGGUCAUACAUUACCAUCGUCCCUGGCUGAAAGGUUUACUGUGUUACUGUGGUCAUACAUUACCAUCGUCCCUGGCUGAAAGGUUUACUGUGUUACUGUGGUCAUACAUUACCAUCGUCCCUGGCUGAAAGGUUUACUGUGUUACUGUGUUCAUACAUUACCAUCGUCCCUGGCUGAAAGGUUUACUGUGUUACUGUGGUCAUACAUUACCAUCGUCCCUGGCUGAAAGGUUUACUGUGUUACUGUGGUCAUACAUUACCAUCGUCCCUGGCUGAAAGGUUUACUGUGUUACUGUGGUCAUACAUUACCAUCGUCCCUGGCUGAAAGGUUUACUGUGUUACUGUGUUCAUACAUUACCAUCGUCCCUGGCUGAAAGGUUUACUGUGUUACUGUGUUCAUACAUUACCAUCGUCUCUGGCUGAAAGGUUUACUUCAAAUUAUGCCUGUCGAAAUCAUGACAAAAAAAAAAGAGGAUAUACAAGUUUGACACGUUUUAAUAAGGAAAAAGGCC
rnacentral:lncRNA from 1 species